rnacentral:tRNA from 1 species
GGUCCUGUGGUGUAGCGGCCUAACAUGUCUCCCUGUCACGGAGAAGACCGCCGGUUCGAAUCCGGUCAGGACCG